rnacentral:misc_RNA from 1 species
GAUGAAGAACGCAGCGAAAUGCGAUAAGUAAUGUGAAUUGCAGAAUUCAGUGAAUCAUCGAAUCUUUGAACGCACAUUGCGCCCAUUAGCAUUCUAGUGGGCAUGCCUGUUCGAGCGUCAUUUCAACCCUUAAGCCCUGUUGCUUAGCGUUGGGAGCCUACAGUACUGUAGCUCCCCAAAGUUAGUGGCGGAGUCGGUUUCACACUCUAGACGUAGUAAUUUUUUCUCGUCUGUAGUUGAGCCGGUCCCCUGCCGUAAAACACCCAAUUUAUCAAGGUUGACCUCGGAUCAGGUAGGGAUACCCGCUGAACUUAAGCAUAUCAAUAAGCGGAGGA